rnacentral:rRNA from 1 species
AUGGUGUCCUCCCUCUCCAUGACCGCGAGGGUUAUUUCCAGUGGGGGUUCUUUCCAAGUGAUUGCCAGAUUCAAAGUUCUAUAUCCAAGCAUCGAUGGUGUCCUUCCUCUUCAUGGUCGUGAGGGUUAUUUCCAGGUGAUUGUCGCAUUCAAAGUUCUAUAUCGAAGGAUCGAUGGUGUCCUUCCUCUUCAUGGCCGUGAGGGUUAUUUCCAGGUGAUUGAGAGAUUCAAAGUUUUAGAUGUAAGCACCGAUGGUAUGAUCCCACUUCAUGACCCUGGGGAUUAUUUCGAGGUAAGUGCCGAAAGCAAAGUUAUAGAUCUAAGCAAGAAACAUUGGUUAAAGUUGUUAUGUCUACUGUUUUUAUAG